CAUAGGUUAAUGAGGCGAACCGGGGGAACUGAAACAUCUAAGUACCCCGAGGAAAAGAAAUCAACCGAGAUUCCCCCAGUAGCGGCGAGCGAACGGGGAGGAGCCCAGAGCCUGAAUCAGUGUGUGUGUUAGUGGAAGCGUCUGGAAAGGCGCGCGAUACAGGGUGACAGCCCCGUACACAAAAAUGCACAUACUGUGAGCUCGAUGAGUAGGGCGGGACACGUGGUAUCCUGUCUGAAUAUGGGGGGACCAUCCUCCAAGGCUAAAUACUCCUGACUGACCGAUAGUGAACCAGUACCGUGAGGGAAAGGCGAAAAGAACCCCGGCGAGGGGAGUGAAAAAGAACCUGAAACCGUGUACGUACAAGCAGUGGGAGCCUCUUAAUGGGGUGACUGCGUACCUUUUGUAUAAUGGGUCAGCGACUUAUAUUCUGUAGCAAGGUUAACCGAAUAGGGGAGCCGAAGGGAAACCGAGUCUUAACUGGGCGUUAAGUUGCAGGGUAUAGACCCGAAACCCGGUGAUCUAGCCAUGGGCAGGUUGAAGGUUGGGUAACACUAACUGGAGGACCGAACCGACUAAUGUUGAAAAAUUAGCGGAUGACUUGUGGCUGGGGGUGAAAGGCCAAUCAAACCGGGAGAUAGCUGGUUCUCCCCGAAAGCUAUUUAGGUAGCGCCUCGUGAAUUCAUCUCCGGGGGUAGAGCACUGUUUCGGCAAGGGGGUCAUCCCGACUUACCAACCCGAUGCAAACUGCGAAUACCGGAGAAUGUUAUCACGGGAGACACACGGCGGGUGCUAACGUCCGUCGUGAAGAGGGAAACAACCCAGACCGCCAGCUAAGGUCCCAAAGUCAUGGUUAAGUGGGAAACGAUGUGGGAAGGCCCAGACAGCCAGGAUGUUGGCUUAGAAGCAGCCAUCAUUUAAAGAAAGCGUAAUAGCUCACUGGUCGAGUCGGCCUGCGCGGAAGAUGUAACGGGGCUAAACCAUGCACCGAAGCUGCGGCAGCGACACUAUGUGUUGUUGGGUAGGGGAGCGUUCUGUAAGCCUGUGAAGGUGUACUGUGAGGUAUGCUGGAGGUAUCAGAAGUGCGAAUGCUGACAUAAGUAACGAUAAAGCGGGUGAAAAGCCCGCUCGCCGGAAGACCAAGGGUUCCUGUCCAACGUUAAUCGGGGCAGGGUGAGUCGACCCCUAAGGCGAGGCCGAAAGGCGUAGUCGAUGGGAAACAGGUUAAUAUUCCUGUACUUGGUGUUACUGCGAAGGGGGGACGGAGAAGGCUAUGUUGGCCGGGCGACGGUUGUCCCGGUUUAAGCGUGUAGGCUGGUUUUCCAGGCAAAUCCGGAAAAUCAAGGCUGAGGCGUGAUGACGAGGCACUACGGUGCUGAAGCGACAAAUGCCCUGCUUCCAGGAAAAGCCUCUAAGCAUCAGGUAACAUCAAAUCGUACCCCAAACCGACACAG
rnacentral:rRNA from 1 species